rnacentral:RNase_P_RNA from 1 species
UGAGAUAGACGUGUGAUCGCUAUAUUUUAAUAUAGAGGAAAGUCCGAGCACCUCAUGGUCAGAAUGCCUGCUAACAGCAGGGCGGGGUGACCCGACGGAAAGUGCAACAGAAAAAAUACCGCCAUUUAUGGUAAGGUUGAAAUGGUGCGGUAAGAGCGCACCGUAUAUCUGGCGACAGAUAUAGCUUAUGUAAACCCCAUUCGGUGCAAGGUUAAAUAGGGAAACAAUACUUGACUAUGAGUAGUUUCCGGGUUGGCCGCUUGAGGGUAUUGGUGACGAUACUCCUAGAUGGAUGAUCACAAACUCAUUAUAUGGGUUACAGAACUCGGCUUAUAGUCUGUCUCACUUU